rnacentral:sRNA from 1 species
AUCAAGAUUGUCUAGGGGAUCUUCCAUAGGCAAGCCAUGAAAU